rnacentral:lncRNA from 1 species
AAUUAUUGCCGAUCCUCCCCUCCAACACUGCUCUCAUCACCUAUAUACUCUUCUCUCUGCCCGUCUCUGCUUCCCCCCCCUUCCCCCCCCCCUUUUCUCCCGGCCGACGGAGCUGAAGGGGCGGGGGUUCCUUCCUUGGAGUGUUUCUAGAGCUCGGAGGCUGCUGGUAGGGGGGCACCACUUUCAGAUAAAAACAUAGACCUGAAUGGCAUCAUCCAGUAUCCAAGGAAACCAUUGUGUCUGUAACCAGCUAAUGAGCUGCAACAGAGCCUGGCCUUCAUUUUCAGCAAAUUAAGUUCAUCCCUCAUAGGAAUUGUGGUCUGGCUGUGGCACCGCUCCUAGGUUCUCUAAACAUGAAUAUGCCUUUGGGGGAAGACAGAAGAACAUGGAAGCCAUGUGAAAAAAACGGAUCCUAAGGUAUAAACAAAGUGCAGAUGAUUGUCGGCCAUGCUGCAGGGAUUUCUUGUUUGUCUUCUCAGUAGUGUUAGCUAAUUUUGUCUUCCAAUCCGCAAUUCCUUAUAGGACUUGGACGCUUUGAACCUCUCAGGACCCCUCAGAUUCUAGUACAUAAACUCGGAGCCAAAUUCACAGCCAGCUCUCCUUCAAACUGCCUUAUCUGUUUUUGAGUUAAUUAGAAGGGCCUUUUAACAACUUUGCAUUUGAGUCCUAAGAAAAGUCUAGUUCAUUAGGCAAUAAAGCCACUGUGCUGGCCCCUAAUCAAGGUCAGUACAUAUCAUUAUACGACUGAUCCAAAUUUGAGUUGGUUCAGUUAUUUCAUUUGUUCAUUGUCCACAAUGUUCCAGUCACAGUACCAGGUGCUCAGAGUGUGGUGUUAGAGACAAGAUUCAAAGUAAGUAAUUUUAGACCAAUGUCAUAUGCGCCAUUAUAGAAGUACGGCUGAAAAUGGAAUUUAUAUAAAUAAGCAUGUGAGUGGUUCACUAAACAGGGAUGGGCAAGAAAGACCUUACAGAAGAGAUGAAUAUCUUAGCGAAUAACUUAGCAGGAUUUCAAAGAAUGGACGAGAGUUUUGCAGGCAGAUGAGAUAGGAAGGGUGCCAGAGAGAAAGGAAAGCAUGGGCAAGGGCUCAGGAGGUGGGGAAAAAUGUGAUAUAGUUUGAGGUACUGGAGUAUGAAGUUAACAAGGGGAGAAUAUUUAGAAGGAAGGAUGGAGAAGUAGGCAGAGAGCAGAUUAUCAGGUUAAAAUAUUAGAAAUUAGUAUUGAAGUUUACUAGAAGCCAGCAGCACGUUCAAUGCAAGCAGGUGCCAUGGUCAUAUUAGUUUUAGUUUAGUAAUCAGUGUAGAAGGUGGAUGAGAGGGGGUGAGUCUGGAGGCAAUAAGCAUAGUUGGUAGUAGCAGUCUAGGUGUCACCUGACAGGGGCCUUUACUAGCCCAGUGGUGGACAUUUUUAAUGCAUUAGUCUUUCUUCUAGUCUGUGAAUUUCUUAUAACGAGGGUGUGGUCUUCCUCACACUUGUUUCUUCACACUUGUUGCCUACUAUCAUACCUGACAUGCAGUAAAUUACCAUAGCAAGACAAAAAAUCUCUUAAACGUGUACUCUUUAUUACUCUGUUGGACCAUGAUGAGAGCAACUUAUUGUAUGGCUAUUUAAAAUUAUUUAUGAAGAUAAUAUUUUUUGUGUUGGAAAUGCUACAAUAAUUUAAUUGUGAGAUUUAUAACUAAGACUUAUUGUUCACAUUUGUUUUAUGUUUUCAUAUAUGUGAUGAAAUAGACAAUUUACUCUGUAAGUCUUAAAUAUAAAAAUGAUUCAUUAUUUCUUUCUGAAAAAAAAAAAAAAAAA